UUUGAUCUUGGAUUUAGCUAGAUUUCAUGUUAUUCUAGUGUUUUUAGUUGGUUGGUGAUGUGUAGCAUAAAAAGCAAACAAGAAAAAUUCAUGUUCUUAUAUCACCCUCAUUGGCCGAAUCUUCCUUAUGGUAUGUGGAUGGUGGAUUUGAUUUUAUUUCAAGUGAUUUGGUUAGGAAUUAAUGAUUUAUGGUGUAAAAAUCAAGUGUGAAAAACCAUAGUGUUUAUGCACC
rnacentral:lncRNA from 1 species